rnacentral:lncRNA from 1 species
AGUUCUCAUUUUUAUUGCAAAUGGUAGAAGUCAUGGAACUUCUCCUUUAAAGUCAUUUUUUUUCUUUCCCAGAAAGGCCACAUGGAAAGCAGUGCUCCUCUUCUUCACUGGAUGUGAUCAUUUUUGCAUAAGAGAUUACUGAAAGGAAUGCCUCUGCUGUAUGUCAUGAAGGAAUGGCAUGAUUCCUUCCACUCUCAUGCCUUUAAGAUUUAGUUCAUUGAACUUUAGAACUGAAAAUGGUCUUACAGGGAAUCUUGUCCUGGGCUUUGUAAGCUGAGCUCCUAAGAGUCAUCACAGUUACCCAAUGCAGUGGUAGUGAGCAGGGUCCAGCAGAUCUCCUCAGCCAGAGGAG